CCUACGGGUGGCAGCAGUCGAGAAUUAUUCACAAUGGGGGAAACCCUGAUGGUGCGACGCCGCGUGGGGGAAUGAAGGUCUUCGAAUUGUAAACCCCUGUCAUGUGGAAGCAAAUUAAAAAGAUAGUACCACAAGAGGAAGAGACGGCUAACUCUGUGCCAGCAGCCGCGGUAAUACAGAGGUCUCAAGCGUUGUUCGGAAUCACUGGGCGUAAAGCGUGCGUAGGCUGUUUCGUAAGUCGGGUGUGAAAGCCGCGGGCUCAACCCGCGGACGGCACAUGAUACUGCGAGACUAGAGUGAUGGAGGGGGAACCGGAAUUCUCGGUGUAGCAGUGAAAUGCGUAGAUAUCGAGAGGAACACUCGUGGCGAAGGCGGGUUCCUGGACAUUAACUGACGCUGAGGCACGAAGGCCAGGGGAGCGAAAGGGAUUAGAUACCCCAGUAGUC
rnacentral:rRNA from 1 species